GCGGGUGUAGUAUAGUGGUAAUACGUGACCUUCCCAAGGUCAAGUCGUGGGUUCAAUUCCCAUCAUCCGCUCAA
rnacentral:tRNA from 5 species